rnacentral:rRNA from 1 species
CACGUAGGGGGCGAGCGUUGUCCGGAUUUAUUGGGCGUAAAGAGCUCGUAGGCGGCUCGGUAAGUCGGGUGUGAAACCUCCAGGCUCAACCUGGAGACGCCACCCGAUACUGCCGUGGCUAGAGUCCGGUAGAGGAGCGUAGAAUUCCUGGUGUAGCGGUGAAAAUGCGCAGAUAUCAGGAGGAAUACCAGCGGCGAAGGCGGCGCUCUGGGCCGGUACUGACGCUGAGGAGCGAAAGCGUGGGGAGCAAACAGG